UACGUAGGGGGCAAGCGUUGUCCGGAUUCAUUGGGCGUAAAGAGCGUGUAGGCGGCCAGGUAGGUCGGUUGUGAAAACUGGAGGCUCAACCUUCAGAGGUCGACCGAAACCAUCUGGCUAGAGUCCGGGAGAGGAGACUGGAAUUCCUGGUGUAGCAGUGAAAUGCGUAGAUAUGCGGAGGAACACCGAUGGCGAAGGCAAUCCCCUGGGCCUGCACUGACGCUCAUGCACGAAAGCGUGGGGAGCAAACAGG
rnacentral:rRNA from 1 species